CAGGUCUUUGUUACGGAAAUCAGUUAUUGGACUAAUGAUACCUAUAGCAGCUCUUCAGUGUAAAAGGCUGUGGCAAAGUCAAAUGAGACAGUUCCCAUGGAAGGACUUGGAAGCAGCAAAGGUUUAUAUGAAUGUCAGAUGUUAAAAGUAGCACAGAGCAUGUGGCUAUCAUCGAGCCCUAUCAUUCCUGAAAUAUAGUUACCAAAAGUGAAAUCUUAAAAGGAAGACUUUUCUUGAUAAUUUUACAAAUACUAUCUUGGUUUUCCUAAGAUUUCUAAAUAAUCAAGGAAAGGAGAAUAAGGAAACCUCUGAAGAUCUAGAUCUUUCGGUGGGAAGAUGGAAUUUGAGCUGAGAUCUGAAUGAAAGCCACCAUUUGGAAUGUGCAGAGAGAGGAUGUGGAAAUCUUAAGGGGCAAAUAAAAGGAAGAAACGAAAAAAAGUACAAAAGUAUGGAGAAGAAUAUUGUGGAAGGCAGGAUCAAGCUAGGCAGAUUCAG